AACCACACUAUCAAUGAAUGGAUUCACCCGUGAGAUGACGUGUUUGUUUCACCAGGACGAGGAUGUGGCAUCAUAUUACUAGCCAUCGCACGAAAUUAAUAGGAUGGCACGUCCUCAUCUUAGAUGGAACAACCACGUCAUCUCACGGGUGGAUCCAUUCAUUGAUAGUGUGGUU
rnacentral:pre_miRNA from 17 species